GACGAACCGAGCGAACGUUGUUCGGAAUCACUGGGCUUAAAGGGCGCGUAGGCGGGUGCUCAAGUCCGUGGUGAAAUCCUCCGGCUCAACCGGAGAACUGCCUCGGAUACUGGAUGCCUCGAGGGUGGUAGGGGUAUGCGGAACUAUCGGUGGAGCGGUGAAAUGCGUUGAUAUCGAUAGGAACUCCGGUGGCGAAGGCGGCAUACUGGACCACCUCUGACGCUGAGGCGCGAAAGCCAGGGGAGCAAACGGG
rnacentral:rRNA from 1 species